UCUCAUCUCUCUCUCUCUCUCUCUCUCUCAGACGCACACACGAAGCAUUGGUAUUGGGAGUUUCUUGAUCCUCUUCGGCCAGGUGUCUGUUAUUAGUUGCCAAGCGUGAAAUUAAGUGCGUUGGUCACAGCGGAUUUAUUUCGAUGGACGACAAAAGGCGCUGUUCAAAAUGCCUGCUGUAUCACUUGCCUUGUGACUUGCAUGACAAUUGGAGUGCACAGAGCACAGCGCCAUCAUUUUCGCAACUUAGUUUUCAUUGCUUUACUGAGAAUGUCCUUGAGCAAAUAAAGCUUUAUUUGCUGCCGCCAGAAUGUUGUCAGCUAAUAUUUGAUGAAUUGGUGAGAAUGCACGGCCUUGCCUUGGGAAAUCUUGAAAUUUUCCGAAAGUGCCAUUUUCCGCUAAUUCAUCUAGGGGGAUACCCAGGAGUAAGGGACUGUUGGAUGAAUGUAAUCGCUUCUCAAGGGGAAAUCCUUAGAAUCACUUGAUAUCUCUUGCUCUGAUGUCACGGAUCGUGGAUUGGUGCUUCUCAAAGACUGUUUCAACCUUAAAAAAUUAGCAUUGAACUAUUGUUAUCAGAUCUCUGAUAGAGGCCUCGGAUUCAUCUCAAGUCUUUUGCAAUUGAUGUCUCUAAGUAUUAUUAAAAACAAAGGCCUCACUGCAGAAGGAAUAGAAGCUUUUACCAACUUAAGUAACCUUGCAAAAUUUUAAUCUUGAGAGGUGCUCAAGAAUUCAUGGGGGACUUAUUCAUUUGAGAGGUUU